CGUGACGGAAGGGAAGUGGCUGGAUAAGUUUCCACACGAGAUCAGUCCAAACAACGUCCCUGCCAUGGCAACGGCGCAGGUUCGUGUCCUGUUCAUACUUCUUGCUGUGAGUUUAGCUGAAGAUGUUAAAUUAAAAUACAAACCAGCCUCAAAACCCGUGCGGCUGUUCACCGAGGAGGAGCUCCAGAGAUACAACGGCAGGGAGGAAGGCCAGCCUAUUUACAUGGCAGUAAAAGGUGUGGUGUUUGAUGUCUCCAGAGGAAAAGAGUUUUAUGGUAAAGAUGCUCCAUAUAACGCUCUGGUUGGGAAGGACUCCAGUCGAGCUGUGGCCAAGAUGUCCCUGAACCCAGCAGACCUGACAUCAGACACUACAGGCCUCACUCAGGAGCAGCUCGAGUCUUUAGAUAGUAUAUUUGAAGGAACUUACAAAGCCAAGUAUCCCAUUGUGGGCUACACUGCAGAACGUCUCCUCAAAGAGGAUGGAAGCCCCAACACAGACUUCAAACCAGAAGAUCAGGCUCAUUUUCAAAUCAAAGAUGAGUUUUAAGCACAACUUCUUCGGGCACGAAAUGGAGCCGGAUGCCUUGGUAAUGUUUUGUUGCUACACAUGGACAAAAUACAAUUUAAAGGACAAGACAUGCACAGAGCUGGGGCUGGGAUUUGAUGCACUGAGAAUUAAAAUCUACACAAAGGAAAACAGGACUUUAAAUUCAGUUCUCCAGAACACCAUUUAAACAAGAACGUGCUUGAGGUUUGCAGGAACAGCUUCUCCAUGUACCUCCUCAAUUACAAGACUAGCACAUGAACAGCCAUCAGUACAGUGCACAUCUGCAAGAGCAAAUCUGCUGGAGCUGUUUCCCAUUAUUCUACUGUCGUGGCUCGGCCAGGCUUCAAUGCCCGAUUCUUCCCAUCUCCUGGACUUCUUGGUCAAAGUCAGCCAGAGCUUGCCUUCUACCUGGAGAACUCCCACCUGCCUGUCUGACCUCUGCCUGCUUCGCCUCCACUCAAAGAAGAUUUAAAGCACAACGGAUAUACAGUCUCACUGCCAACCUCAGGCCCAGUAACGUAUAUGGUCUCCAUUCCUACUAGAUAGGAACCAUCAAAAACCAAGUAAGACUUCAAAAUUAAGAGUCUCCACUAAGUCACCCUUCAUCCUUCCAGUCCUCCUGGGAAACCUCCUGCAGACCCAGAAGACUUUUCUUAACAAAACAUUCAAAACUGCUAUCUGUGUCCAUAGUUGUCUCUGUUCCAGAGUCUCAUAAAAUCUUUAGACUUUUAGUCUUUAGACUAAAUGGAAAUCAUUUCUGUCUCAUUUG